GGCUCUUUGAUGAUUUAUAAUAAAGAGUUGGACCUGCCCACUGAAUUUUUUAACGGCCGCGGUACUCUGACCGUGCAAAGGUAGCAUAAUCAUUUGCCUUAUAAUUGAAGGCUUGUAUGAAUGGUUUGACAAGAAUAUAGCUGUCUCUAUAUAAUUUUAUAGAAUUUUACUUUGAAGUGAAGAGGCUUGAAUAUAAUUAAAAGACAAGAAGACCCUAUCGAGCUUGAAAAAAUGUAAUGGAAGUAAUUAAAUAUUAUUUAGAAAAUUGUCUAUUAUAGAUUUUGGUUGGGGCGACUUAGGAACAUAAAAAGCUUCCUAUAUAUAAAUAUAAAGCAAUUGAUCCAAAAUUUUUUGAUUAAGGAAAUUAGUUACCGUAGGGAUAACAGCAUUAUCUUCUUUGAGAGUUCAUAUCGAAAAGGGGGUUUGUGACCUCGAUGUUGGACCAGAAUAUCCUAAAGGUGUAGCAGUCUUUAAGGGUUGGUCUGUUCGACCAUUAAAAUUCUACG
rnacentral:rRNA from 1 species